rnacentral:rRNA from 1 species
CCUACGGGAGGCAGCAGUGAGGAAUAUUGCGCAAUGGGGGCAACCCUGACGCAGCGACGCCGCGUGGAUGAUGAAGGCCUUCGGGUCGUAAAAUCCUGUCGGAUGGAAAGAAGUGCAUAUAUGCUAAUACCAUGUAUGUUUGACGGUACCAUCAGAGGAAGCACCGGCUAACUCCGUGCCAGCAGCCGCGGUAAUACGGAGGGUGCAAGCGUUGUUCGGAAUUACUGGGCGUAAAGCGCGCGUAGGCGGUUUGUUAAGUCAGAUGUGAAAGCCCAGGGCUUAACCCUGGACGUGCAUUUGAAACUGUCAGACUUGAGUAUUGGAGGGGGUGGUGGAAUUCCCGGUGUAGAGGUGAAAUUCGUAGAUAUCGGGAGGAAUACCGGUGGCGAAGGCGACCACCUGGCCAAAUACUGACGCUGAGGUGCGAAGGCGUGGGGAGCAAACAGGAUUAGAUACCCUGGUAGUC